GUGGUUGGGAGUUUAAUUUCUAAUUCCAUAGGUGUGUAUCUUGCACUGAGAGGGAUGAUUGGCCAAAUGUUGUUUUGCACCUUCACAUUUUACAGUU